rnacentral:rRNA from 1 species
GACGAACGCUGGCGGCGUGCUUAACACAUGCAAGUCGAACGGAGUGGCGAACGGGUGAGUAACACGUGGGUGACCUGCCCUGCACUUCGGGAUAAGCCUGGGAAACUGGGUCUAAUACCGGAUAGUGUGGGAUGGGCCCGCGGCCUAUCAGCUUGUUGGUGGGGUAAUGGCCGACCAAGGCGGCGACGGGUAGCCGGCCUGAGAGGGUGGACGGCCACAUUGGGACUGAGACACGGCCCAGACUCCUACGGGAGGCAGCAGUGGGGAAUAUUGCACAAUGGGCGGAUGCCUGAUGCAGCGACGCCGGGUGGGGGAUGACCGCGUUCGGGUGGUAAACCGCGGCCAGCUUUGACGCUGGAGUGGCUUAGGAAGCACGGGCGAGCUACGUGCCAGCAAGCGCGGUAAUUC